AUCACUUCUCAACCUUUUGGCUAAGAUCAAGUGUAGUAUCUGUUUUCUCAGUUUAAUAUCUGAUAUGUCCUAAAUUAAAAAUAAUAAAGAAUGAUUGUAAAGGGGAGAUACGAGAAACCAGAGAAUCCAU
ensembl:snRNA U2 U2 spliceosomal RNA